GUGAUCCGGUGGUUCCGCAUGGAAGGGCCAUCGCUCAACGGAUAAAAGGUACGCCGGGGAUAACAGGCUGAUCCUAGCCAAGAGUUCACAUCGACGCUAGGGUUUGGCACCUCGAUGUCGGCUCAUCGCAUCCUGGAGCUGUAGCAGGUUCCAAGGGUCCGGCUGUUCGCCGGUUAAAGCGGUACGUGAGCUGGGUUUAGAACGUCGCGAGACAGUUCGGUCUCUAUCUGUGAUGGGCGCAGGAGAUUUGAGUGGGGCUGACCUUAGUACGAGAGGACCGGGUUGGACGGACCUCUAGUGUAUCGGUUGUCGCGCCAGCGGCAGUGCCGAGUAGCUACGUCCGGAAGGGAGAAACGCUGAAGGCAUCUAAGCGUGAAACCCUCCACGAGAUGAGAUCUCCCAGGUCGCAAGACCUCUGAAGGCUCCUGGUAGACUACCAGGUUGAUAGGCCAGGUGUGGAAGCGCAGUGAUGCGUUAAGCUUACUGGUACUAAUUAGCCGUGCGGCUUGACCAUAU
rnacentral:rRNA from 1 species